rnacentral:rRNA from 1 species
GAUGAACGCUGGCGGCGUGCCUAAUACAUGCAAGUCGAGCGAACGGACGAGAAGCUUGCUUCUCUGAUGUUAGCGGCGGACGGGUGAGUAACACGUGGAUAACCUACCUAUAAGACUGGGAUAACUUCGGGAAACCGGAGCUAAUACCGGAUAAUAUUUUGAACCGCAUGGUUCAAAAGUGAAAGACGGUCUUGCUGUCACUUAUAGAUGGAUCCGCGCUGCAUUAGCUAGUUGGUAAGGUAACGGCUUACCAAGGCAACGAUGCAUAGCCGACCUGAGAGGGUGAUCGGCCACACUGGAACUGAGACACGGUCCAGACUCCUACGGGAGGCAGCAGUAGGGAAUCUUCCGCAAUGGGCGAAAGCCUGACGGAGCAACGCCGCGUGAGUGAUGAAGGUCUUCGGAUCGUAAAACUCUGUUAUUAGGGAAGAACAGAUGUGUAAGUAACUGUGCACAUCUUGACGGUACCUAAUCAGAAAACCACGGCUAACUACGU